rnacentral:rRNA from 1 species
AGCAGCCGCGGUAAUUCCAGCUUCAAUAGCGUAUAUUAAAGUUGUUGCAGUUAAAAAGCUCGUAGUUGAAUUUCGAGACCGGCUUACUGGUCGUGCUAUUGUACGUACUGGUAUAAUCGGUUUCUCCCUUCUGACGAACUAUAAUGCCAUUAAUUUGGUGUUUUAGGGAAUCAGGACUGUUACUUUGAAAAAAUUAGAGUGUUUAAAGCAGGCUCACGCUUGAAUACAUUAGCAUGGAAUAACGGAAUAGGACGUUUGAUUCUAUUUUGUUGGUUUCUAGGAUCGACGUAAUGAUUAAUAGGGAUAGUUGGGGGCAUUAGUAUUCAAUUGUCAGAGGUGAAAUUCUUGGAUUUAUUGAAGACUAACUACUGCGAAAGCAUUUGCCAAGGAUGUUUUCAUUAAUCAAGAACGAAAGUUAGGGGAUCGAAGACGAUCAGAUACCGUCGUAGUCUUAACCAUAAACUAUGCCGACUAGGGAUCGGAUGAUGUUAAUUUUUUAAUGACUCA